AAAGUGUAUUAGCUUGGAAUUCUCUGUGUACAUGCUGAAAUUUAAGCAGAGGGGAAGGUCUGAGGAGCCAGAUUCGACUGCAAAGUCAAGUACAGAAAUGUAUACAACGCCCAUCAGAAAACAGCGCAAGCAUGAAAGAAGGCGUUUUGGCCAAUCACUUAGUCUAAUUUCCAAGACAAUUGUAACUUAAUUCAGACUACUCAAUACACUUU
rnacentral:RNase_P_RNA from 1 species